GACGAACGCUGGCGGCGUGCUUAACACAUGCAAGUCGAACGGAAAGGCCCUGCUUUUGUGGGGUGCUCGAGUGGCGAACGGGUGAGUAACACGUGAGUAACCUGCCCUUGACUUUGGGAUAACUUCAGGAAACUGGGGCUAAUACCGGAUAGGAGCUCCUGCUGCAUGGUGGAGGUUGGAAAGUUUCGGCGGUUGGGGAUGGACUCGCGGCUUAUCAGCUUGUUGGUGGGGGAGUGGCUUACCAAGGCUUUGACGGGUAGCCGGCCUGGGAGGGUGACCGGCCACAUUGGGAAUGGGAUACGGCCCAGACUCCUACGGGAGGCAGCAGUGGGGAAUAUUGCACAAUGGGCGGCAGCCUGAUGCAGCAACGCCGCGUGCGGGAUGACGGCCUUCGGGUUGUAAACCGCUUUCGCCUGUGACGAAGCGUGAGUGACGGUAAUGGGUAAAGAAGCACCGGCUAACUACGUG
rnacentral:rRNA from 1 species